rnacentral:rRNA from 1 species
CACGUAGGGUGCGAGCGUUGUCCGGAAUUAUUGGGCGUAAAGAGCUCGUAGGCGGUGUGUCGCGUCGGCCGUGAAAACCUGCAGCUUAACUGUGGGCUUGCGGUCGAUACGGGCAUCACUGGAGUUCGGCAGGGGAGACUGGAAUUCCUGGUGUAGCGGUGAAAUGCGCAGAUAUCAGGAGGAACACCGAUGGCGAAGGCAGGUCUCUGGGCUGUAACUGACGCUGAGGAGCGAAAGCGUGGGGAGCGAACAGG